AUAGAUAGAGGCGCGAUGACUAUCAGUAACGCGAUGUGGUAAACGGCUUGCCCGCGUGAAAGGAUUCAUCGCCGAAAUCUGUGAAUUUGCCGAAGGAAUUUGCAGGUUGGUUUACGACAGAACAUGCCGUGAACUGUCACAUUUUGUGGAGAGCUAUCA
rnacentral:ncRNA from 1 species